UGCAAGUCGAACGGUAGCACAGAGAGCUUGCUCUCGGGUGACGAGUGGCGGACGGGUGAGUAAUGUCUGGGAAACUGCCUGAUGGAGGGGGAUAACUACUGGAAACGGUAGCUAAUACCGCAUAACGUCGCAAGACCAAAGAGGGGGACCUUCGGGCCUCUUGCCAUCAGAUGUGCCCAGAUGGGAUUAGCUAGUAGGUGGGGUAACGGCUCACCUAGGCGACGAUCCCUAGCUGGUCUGAGAGGAUGACCAGCCACACUGGAACUGAGACACGGUCCAGACUCCUACGGGAGGCAGCAGUGGGGAAUAUUGCACAAUGGGCGCAAGCCUGAUGCAGCCAUGCCGCGUGUAUGAAGAAGGCCUUCGGGUUGUAAAGUACUUUCAGCGGGGAGGAAGGUGUUGUGGUUAAUAACCACAGCAAUUGACGUUACCCGCAGAAGAAGCACCGGCUAACUCCGUGCCAGCAGCCGCGGUAAUACGGAGGGUGCAAGCGUUAAUCGGAAUUACUGGGCGUAAAGCGCACGCAGGCGGUCUGUCAAGUCGGAUGUGAAAUCCCCGGGCUCAACCUGGGAACUGCAUUCGAAACUGGCAGGCUAGAGUCUUGUAGAGGGGGGGUAGAAUUCC
rnacentral:rRNA from 1 species